GUGAAGUCAACUUUCCGGACAUAUGCUGGAAUUUUGAUACAGUCCCGAGGAAGCAGUCUAGGAGGUUCCUGGAGUGCGUGGAAGAGAGCUUUCUGACUCAGCUGGUUAGUGAGCCUACUGGGGGGAUGCCCCACUAGACCUGCUGCUCAUGAACAAAGAAGAGAUCUUGUGGGAGAUAUGGCGUUUGAGACCCUGCUGUAGCCAAGGCUGUACACCCCAGGUCAUUAUACUCCUUGUAGAAUUUUGGUUUGAACUCUGGCUUGGGCUCAGUGGUCUGGAGCUGGAAAAGCCAUUGGGGAGGCUUGGGUGCUUUCCCAGUGGUCGAUUCCGACCCAGCCCAUACAAGACCCGUAAUUCACAAUAUCUUGCAAAAAGUCACUCCGGGUAGUUACAGGGACCUGCUUCUGUGAAAGUCGUGUGGCAUCCAGGGCAGCAUUCAUAGCACAGGCAAUUUGUAUGUGGUCUUGGAGAGUAGCUACAUGUGUCUUUAUGGUGUCUGGGAGGCCACAAAUAAGGGGGAGUUAAGCUUGCCGGAUCAAUCAGGGCUAGCUUUAGGGAUCUCCGUAACAGAUCCUUCUCCUGCAUCGCUUGUAUGCAGGCUGGUUUUUGAAGAGAUGCAGCCAAAUCGGAGAACCCCGAGGUCUUCAUGACAAGGGAUUCUCCUCUUUCUUGUGGGUCUAUUCCACUGACCCGAUAGGCAGCUAAAAUGAAUCUAUGCCACUAAUCCAAUAGGCAGUUAAUACGUUUAUUUAAGGUAUAAAUGCUAUCGCAGGUAUUCCUCACCAAAGUGAAGGUGAAGGUGCAGAGCUUACCAAGGAGGUGUCCCUGUCUUGGUGGAGAAGGAGCACAGAACAUCGACUGCCUCUUCUAGGGUUGGGAACGUACACCGAUGGACACAAACGAAUUAGAGCAACAGCCUUGGAGGAGUUUGAGGCAGCAACCCAAGGUUUCAGCUGUGUUCAGAGAAUGCCAAAAGGAAAGGCUCAAAGAGAUGCUUGGAAAGAGCCUUAAGGGGCAAACAGAACCAGACCUCAACAAAUGGAGAAAAAACUGGGGAACCUCCGUGCAAUUUGAGCUAAUCCGUGAGAGCUACAGGACAUGCAGACACAGGCAGGUAACAAAUAAGAGACGGGUAUGCUGCUUUUCCAGAACUAACGCAGGUAAGGCAAAAUUUUUCAUAAGUACAAUGUGGUGGAGGCAAAGGUAGCUAGCGGGCAUGUGCCCACGUCCAAAUUAGGCAAAAUUCUCUGUUACCUAGCCUAGAGGGAUCCGAGUUUAGGAUCCACAAAG